rnacentral:rRNA from 1 species
CCUGCCCAAGAGAUCGGGAUAACACCUGGAAACAGAUGCUAAUACCGGAUAACAAUAGAUGAUGCCUAUCAACUGUUUAAAAGAUGGUUCUGCUAUCACUCUUGGAUGGACCUGCGGUGCAUUAGCUAGUUGGUAGGGUAACGGCCUGCCAAGGCGAUGAUGCAUAGCCGAGUUGAGAGACUGAUCGGCCACAUUGGGACUGAGACACGGCCCAAACUCCUACGGGAGGCAGCAGCC